UCGGUUCAUAAAGCGCCAGGACUAUUUUGCCGAACGGUGGGAAAAUAGUUGACGAGGUUGGAGGUUAUCGAGUAUUCGGCGGGUGCCUCCCGAUUGUACAUCUCAAUUGUUAUGCUGUUUCUUAAAACAACAAGGCAACUUGUUGGCCAAAGGAAAUGAGCAAGAUGAUUA
rfam:Virgibacillus massiliensis genome assembly, contig: 000002